UGGCGGCGUGCUAACACAUGCAAGUCGAACGGGACUGAUUGAAAGCUUGCUUUGAAAAGUCUAGUGGCAAACGGUGAGUAACGCGUAGGCAACCUGCCUCUAAGAUGGGGACAACAGCCCGAAAGGGCUGCUAAUACCGAAUGUUGUGAGUUUUCCGCAUGGAGAAUUCAUUAAAGAUGGCCUCUACUUGUAAGCUAUCACUUAGAGAUGGGCCUGCGUCUGAUUAGCUAGUUGGUGGGGUAACGGCUCACCAAGGCGACGAUCAGUAGCCCGGUCUGAGAGGAUGAACGGCCACAUUGGGACUGAGACACGGCCCAGACUCCUACGGGAGGCAGCAGUGGGGAAUCUUCCGCAAUGGGCGAAAGCCUGACGGAGCAACGCCGCCGUGAGUGAAGAAGGUCUUCGGAUCGUAAAGCUCUGUCGAAGGGGACGAACGUGGGUUCUAUCAACAACGGGACCUAAUGACGGUACCUUUCAAGAAAGCCACGGCUAACUACGUGCCAGCCGCCGC
rnacentral:rRNA from 1 species